rnacentral:rRNA from 1 species
GGGCCCGCACAAGCGGUGGAGUAUGUGGUUUAAUUCGAUGCAACGCGAAGAACCUUACCAGGGUUUGACAUCCUGCGAAUUUCUGGGAAACCGGAAAGUGCCUUCGGGAGCGCAGUGACAGGUGGUGCAUGGCUGUCGUCAGCUCGUGUCGUGAGAUGUUGGGUUAAGUCCCGCAACGAGCGCAACCCACGUCUUUAGUUGCCAGCAUUUAGUUGGGCACUCUAGAGAGACCGCCGGUGAUAAACCGGAGGAAGGUGUGGAUGACGUCAAGUCAUCAUGCCCCUUACAUCCUGGGCUACACACGUACUACAAUGCUACGGACAAAGGGCAGCAAACUCGCGAGAGCUAG